UACGAAGGGGGCUAGCGUUGCUCGGAAUCACUGGGCGUAAAGCGCACGUUAGGCGGAUCUUUAAGUCAGGGGUGAAAUCCUGGAGCUCAACUCCAGAACUGCCUUUGAUACUGGGGAUCUCGAGUCCGGAAGAGGUGAGUGGAACUCCGAGUGUAGAGGUGUAAAUUCGUAGAUAUUCGGAAGAACACCAGUGGCGAAGGGCGGCUCACUGGUCCGGUACUGACGCUGAGGUGCGAAAGCGUGGGGAGCAAACAGG
rnacentral:rRNA from 1 species